rnacentral:rRNA from 1 species
GUUGUUUAGUUGAAAAUCAAUUAAAUAAUUUUUGAUUUUGAGUAGUAUUGACUUCAUCAGCUUGCUGCUCUCUUUUCGGAAAUUAUUUAAUGCACUUUUCAGUUAACAAGUCAACAUCAAUUUCUUUUGUUGUAAAAAGGUAAGAGGAAGGUGGCUUACAUUUCGGUGUAAGUGUUUAUAGCCUUUUACCUCUGCAAUCGGAGAGAUUGAGGCCAGCAGCGUAGACUCUUCGGGGUUAGAUACACUUGUGCUAAGCUAUAGCCUUGUAUAGACAACUUGUUGACUAUGCUCAGUCAUGUAGCUUACUCGCUUGUAGUAUUUUACCUAC